rnacentral:rRNA from 1 species
CCUACGGGAUGCAGCAGUGAGGGAUAUUAGGCAAUGGGGGAAACCCUGACCUAGCAACGCCGCGUGAAGGAUGAAGGUUUUCGGAUUGUAAACUUCUUUGACGAGGGACGAUAAUGACGGUACAUCGAAAACAAGCCACGGCUAUCUACGUGCCAGCAGCCGCGGUAAUACGUAGGUGGCAAGCGUUGUCCGGAUUUACUGGGUGUAAAGGGCGUGUAGGCGGGUUUGCAAGUCAGAUGUGAAAUGCAGAGGCUUAACCUCUGAGCUGCAUUUGAAACUGCGAAUCUUGAGUGAUGGAGAGGUAAGCGGAAUUCCCGGUGUAGCGGUAAAAUGCGUAGAUAUCGGGAGGAACACCAGUGGCGAAGGCGGCUUACUGGACAUUAACCGACGCUGAGGCGCGAAAGUGUGGGGAGCAAACAGGAUUAGAUACCCGAGUAGU